rnacentral:rRNA from 1 species
AGAGUUUGAUCAUGGCUCAGGAUGAACGCUGGCGGUAUGCUUAACACAUGCAAGUCGAACGGGGUGCUUAGGCAUCUAGUGGCGGACGGGUGAGUAACGCGUGAGAAUCUGGCUCCAGGUCGGGGAUAACAGUUGGAAACGACUGCUAAUACCGGAUGUGCCGAGAGGUGAAAGAUUUAUUGCCUGGAGAUGAGCUCGCGUCUGAUUAGCUAGUUGGUGGUGUAAGGGACCACCAAGGCGUCGAUCAGUAGCUGGUCUGAGAGGAUGAUCAGCCACACUGGGACUGAGACACGGCCCAGACUCCUACGGGAGGCAGCAGUGGGGAAUUUUCCGCAAUGGGCGAAAGCCUGACGGAGCAAUACCGCGUGAGGGAGGAAGGCUCUUGGGUCGUAAACCUCUUUUCUCAAGGAAGAAGAAAGUGACGGUACUUGAGGAAUAAGCAUCGGCUAACUCCGUGCCAGCAGCCGCGGUAAUACGGAGGAUGCAAGCGUUAUCCGGAAUGAUUGGGCGUAAAGGGUCUGCAGGUGGAACUGAAAGUCUGCUGUUAAAGAGUUUGGCUUAACCAAAUAAAAGCGGUGGAAACUACAGAACUAGAGUGCGGUAGGGGCAAAAGGAAUUCCUGGUGUAGCGGUGAAAUGCGUAGAUAUCAGGAAGAACACCGGUGGCGAAAGCGUUUUGCUAGACCGUAACUGACACUGAGGGACGAAAGCUAGGGGAGCGAAUGGGAUUAGAUACCCCAGUAGUCCUAGCCGUAAACGAUGGAUACUAGGCGUGGCUUGUAUCGACCCGAGCCGUGCCGGAGCUAACGCGUUAAGUAUCCCGCCUGGGGAGUACGCACGCAAGUGUGAAACUCAAAGGAAUUGACGG